rnacentral:rRNA from 1 species
GAUGAACGCUGGCGGCGUGCCUAAUACAUGCAAGUCGAGCGAACAAACGAGGAGCUUGCUCCCCUGACGUUAGCGGCGGACGGGUGAGUAACACGUGGAUAACCUACCUAUAAGACUGGGAUAACUUCGGGAAACCGGAGCUAAUACCGGAUAAUAUAUUGAACCGCAUGGUUCAAUAGUGAAAGACGGUUUUGCUGUCACUUAUAGAUGGAUCCGCGCCGCAUUAGCUAGUUGGUAAGGUAACGGCUUACCAAGGCGACGAUGCGUAGCCGACCUGAGAGGGUGAUCGGCCACACUGGAACUGAGACACGGUCCAGACUCCUACGGGAGGCAGCAGUAGGGAAUCUUCCGCAAUGGGCGAAAGCCUGACGGAGCAACGCCGCGUGAGUGAUGAAGGUCUUCGGAUCGUAAAACUCUGUUAUUAGGGAAGAACAAAUGUGUAAGUAACUAUGCACGUCUUGACGGUACCUAAUCAGAAAGCCACGGCUAACUACGUG